GUGCCAGAUUCGGCAGCACACAUACUAACAUUGGAAUGAUACAGGGAAGAUUAGCAUGGCCCCUGCAGAGGAUGACAUGCAAAUUCAUGCAGCAUUAAAAGAAAAA
rnacentral:snRNA from 1 species